AAACGAUUGAAGUCAGACGUGCGUUGUGCAAUUCAGCUCUGGUUCUCCAGAGUGUACUUUGUACUAUUGCAGGCCAACAUCGGUUUUGCGAGUCGGAUAAAGGUUUGAGGAAUGUGGCAUCUUCGGGUGUGUUAUAGCCUCUUGCUGAAUACGGAUUGCGAGACCGAGGGACGCAGCGCGCCGUAAGGCAAAAGCUUCGGCUUUUUCGCGCUUAGGAUGUUGGUGAAAUGGCUUUAAACGA
rnacentral:rRNA from 1 species